GCGCCCGUAGCUCAGCUGGACCAGAGCACGAGCCUUCUAAGCUUGAGGUCGCAGGUUCGAAUCCUGCCGGGCGCGCCA
rnacentral:tRNA from 2 species